rnacentral:rRNA from 1 species
UACGUAGGGUGCGAGCGUUGUCCGGAAUUAUUGGGCGUAAAGAGCUCGUAGGCGGUGUGUCACGUCGGCCGUGAAAACCUGCAGCUUAACUGUGGGCGUGCGGUCGAUACGGGCACCACUGGAGUUCGGCAGGGGAGACUGGAAUUCCUGGUGUAGCGGUGAAAUGCGCAGAUAUCAGGAGGAACACCGGUGGCGAAGGCGGUUCUCUGGGCAUGUCCUGACGCUGAGGAGCGAAAGUGUGGGGAGCGAACAGG